GUACUGUUGAAGAGUCCAGAAGCAGGACGAAACAGCUGUCCAGUAC
rnacentral:hammerhead_ribozyme from 1 species